AUUCCUCGGGAUAUUCCGAGGAUUUCAUUUUCCGUCGGAGUGUCCGUCAGAAUACCGCUGUUUUCUUGUAGUGGAGCGCCAGACAAGCUCGCCUGGCUGAGCUCUAAGACAGAAGAGUACACUACCAAAACUGGAUACAUAGCGGCUCUCUCUCACCGAGUGAAUCCAAUGGACAUCACACAAGAUGAUCUGACCUUCAACUGGAAGAAGGCAAUAUGGAGCCUCAAAACGUCACCAAAAACGAAGCAGUUUGUGUGGAAGGCACUCCAUGGGCCAUCCCAGCGGGAGAAACACUUAGGGCUUAACAUAUAAAUGGGGAAGGAAAAUGCAAAAGAUGCAAUAUGCCUGAAACUAUAGAUCACUUGUUCUUUCAUUGUUCUUAUGCAAAACAGAUGUGGCUCUCUGCCCCUGUUUUGCCAAGAAUUGAAUACAAUGAAUCUAUAGCUUUAAGAACUUCAUGGAUCAGCCUAGUGACGAAGAAGAACUUACCUACAAUAGGAGUUGCAGAAGGACAGUUGGCACCCUGGAUCUUGUGGCAUAUAUGGACGGCGAGAAACAGAGUUGUCUUCAACGACAAGUUCAUCUCCGCAACCAACAACCUUUCUAAAGCCUUAGCUGCUGCACGGGAAUGGAAUGCAUGCCAGCAAACAGACGCACCGACGAACCGCGUAGUGGCCCCUGUAGCUACAACAACGACAAAUUCCGCGCUAAUUAAAACUGAUGCUGCAUGGAAUGGAAGUUUAAAUGUUGCUGGAUUGGGAUGGACGGUGGAAACGCAGCAGUGAACCUCUUCCUAGUCGACUCCUACUCACCAUGUGAGAUCUCUUUUAGAGGCGGAGUCUCUGGCACUACGAGAAGCUCUAAGGAAGUGUCAAGAGCUGGGACUUUCAAGAAUCAGAAUCGAAUCAGACUCAACAGUUUUAAUCAAGGCCCUAAAGUCACGAACUUCUUUGGCCGGCCUCUAUGGGGUCUUGGCUGACAUAUCAUGUUUAGAUUCAUCCUUUGAAUGUUUUUCUUUUAAUUGGAUCUCUAGAGUGAGAAAUGUUGAAGCUAAUAUGCUUGCAAAACAGAUCUUGACUAUUUAACUAUCCUUUAUGACUCCACCUAAUUUGGUUUGAGCUUUUAAUAUAAGUGUGUUUCAAAAAAAAAAAAAAAAUUUGGCAAAAGAAAUUCUUAUAUUUUAAAGAUAUAGAUUAAUCCUUAACAUUUAAAUGGAAAAAUGCAGGCAGAUUAAUUUUAUUUUUCCUUUUUGUAUAUAAAAAUCACUAUAUUGAGAUAUUUUAAAUUGCUUAGAAAAGUAAAAAACUUUUGACAAAACAUCAUUACCCAAUAAAAAUAAUUUAAAGUGUUCUGUGAAUUUAUUAAAACAUACCCAACAAAUUCUAGGCCGCACAUAGUUGGCCCAUAUAUAACAACGGCCGGUUUAUUUUUUGCUUUUAAAUUGUAAGACCGUUUAUAAUUAGUUAGUGGAUUUGAUUAGAUGCAACUUUAUUCCGUGUUAAAGAGUGUGAAGAAAAAAUCAAACACGUUAAAGAAGCUAAUAUCGAAAAUGAACGACAAGAGCGAAGGGAAGAAAGAAGUGAUCGGAUCUGGUCUAGGCCGUGACUGGUCUGAGUUGAAUCGAGAAUAUCUCAUCGACAUACUCUCGCGGCUAAGCCUGGAAGAACGUUGGAGUGGACCAAUGCUCGUAUGCAAGCCUUGGAUGUACGCUUGUGACGACCCGUCUCUUAACUCGGUCUUUGAUCUAUAUACUUGGUUUGAGGGGUCUCGGAUUUCGAAUCUUUGGUAUAGUUACGAGUUUGAGCAAAAGGUUGAUGUAACGACCCAUUUACGGUCCAGAAAAUUUUGGCCCAUUAAAGCCCAAAUCAAUUUCCGAAGGUCCAACGAAUUGUCUAUAAAGACCCACCAUCCAGUUUUGUUUUCUCCACCUCUGAAAGAAAAAAAAAACAGAAUUUAGGAGAGAUAGAAGAAGAAAGAGAAGAAAAAGAAGAAAGAGUGUUCACAAAGAAGAGAAAUGGGAAAACAUUGGAGAGGUUGAGUUACCACCAGAGAUCGCCGUAGCCACCACAGCCCGAGGUCACGCCAGCUUGUCACCAGUGUUCGCAGACCAAGCCACCAUCGUGUUCCUCUCGUCGAGACGAAGCCGUAGCCACCGACCACGCCGCAAUCGGAGUCCGGACGAAGCCGCUAGAGCCUCCGGAAGUUUCACCUCUGUGCGCGCGUGCGUUACACGCGCCGCCUCCGGAAAUCACUUCCCCCGCCGGACCACCGCCUCGCCACCACCGGAACGCCGUCGCUGCCGCCGUGCUCCGCCUUCUGUUGUCGCCGUCGUCCGCCGUCACCGCCGAUUUGGAGUCUAUUUGAGCAUCUGGAGUUCAUAGAUAUCACUUCUUCUUGUUGCUAAGGUGAGGGCUAUUCCGUUAAAUCUCGAGCUAGUUUAGUACUACCAUUAUGGAAAGUUUAGUUUCGAAACAUGAUCCAUCUUUGUGAAUCGAGUCUAUUUAAGAGUCUUGCUUGUUCAUUAUUGAUAUUGAUUGUUAACUGGAAUUAGGAUAAUAGAGGAUUCAACGAUUGUGUGAAAUGAUUGAUGCUAAGAACUGCUAUAUAUAUGUAUAUACAUAGUUAUGAGUAGGGACUAUGUGAUGAGGGCGUGAGUUCAGAGAUGUCUGAGCUUCGACGCUACGGUGUGGUAUGGGCGUGAGUUCAGAGACGUUUGAGCUUCGACGCUACUGUUUGGGGCGUGGUGCAGAGACGUUUGCAUUCGACGCUACGAUGGGCGGGGGUACAGAGACAGACUGUACUAGCGACGCUUCGAGUAUAUGUAUAUAUCCUUAUGAGGAGAUGCGUGGUGCAGAGAGUAGCAAUGUACUAUAAGCGCAUGAGUUGUAACGGCUAGUCCUCUAGCCGAAUAUUGAUUGUUAUGUGUGGUGUAAUAGGCACCGUGUUUGUUUCAUGCUAGAGCUAGGCCUACAUUUUAGUAGUGCUAUGAACUCAGUCUGUGGUUUGCGGUUUAGCAUCCCAUACCUCGCUGGGCAACUCCCCUGUUGCUCACCCCUCCUUCUUUCCCCCUUUCAGGUGAGACCGACGAGCAGGAGUGAUUAUCGAACCGGUGCUAUUGGGCUUUUGGGUUUCUAUUGGUUUUACCGCUUUUAUCUUUAUCGGGCCUUUAGGCCUUUGGACUUUUAUCGUUUAUGUUAUUCUUAUUUCAGAUUUUCGGUUUAUGUCGUAUUUUAUAUUUCAGAUGUUAUCGAUGUUGGGCUUUUAGGCCUUUUGGUAUCGUAUUGACUUUUAUAUUAUGAUAUGAAGAUUAUUAUUAUUUCAGUAUUUAUUAUUUUGUUAUUUUUUUGCAAUUAUAUUAUUUUGAGAAAACCGGGUGUGACACUUGACUCCUUUCUCCGGUGUGUUGUGGAUCGAAGCCAAGGUGGUCUCAAGGAGAUCCGUGUUAGGCACUGUUUGGAUCAAUCGUUGUUGUACGCUGCUGAGAGGUAUAGAUGCUAUAACAAUUUUUUUUGUAUAUAUUAGGGGUUGGCCCGGGCUACCCCCGGGAUUUUUCUAUACUAUUUAUUUUUAAUUUUAUCAUUUACGUUAUUUACAUAUUUUGUAUAUAUUAAAGUUUAUUA